GAGAUUCAUAGGGGAGUGGCUGGCUGACCCAGACCACUGGGAGUCUUAUAUUAUUGGCUUCUCCUGGGAAAGUCUUCUCUGUAACCGAGGCUGCACGUUCUACUGAAAAGGAAAGAAAAAGAGAAAAAACAAGAGCCACGGUGAUGGUCUGGAGUCUAAUUAAUACUGCCAACAGCUUCUAUGUAUUUAGCCGUGGAUUUCCCUUCUUCAAUAAAUGACAGCGUGACCUCAAAUUUUUAGAUGUACCUGGAACAAAGCAAGAACCAUAGAGACAAGGACUCUGGACAGAGCUAACAGCGACCAUAGAUGCUAUUCCGCUAUAGCUUCAGCGAUCUUGGUGUUGCUGUCCUCCAAAACUAAAUGUCUGAACUCAACCAGGCUGAACCCCAGCUGACAUUUGCUGACUUCUUGAGACUGCUGCUUCCACAGUGCGGAACCUGGGAGAGAACAGGAGCCAAGAGAGCCUUUGGAAGAGGAGGAGAGCUUAUGUCCAACGCAGCCAACCAGAAACACAAACAAACAAACAAAAAUUUAAUUCCCUUUGAUAAUUUAGGCAUGUUCCUAACAAUACUUCCCAUAUUUCAAUUGGGCCAUUUAAACGUGUUUGCCACCUUUGAAGACCUAGAAUGAAAGCAAACUUUUGUCUCUGUGGAUGAGAUGAAGUUAGAUUUCUGGCAUCCUUGCCCAGAGCUGUUCCUUAGAUCUUCAUUGCAGGCUAUAGGAUUGUAAGUAGCCUCUGCCAUUUCGGUUUGCUUUUUAACAUUAAUUGUGGUGAGAAGGAUAUUGUCUUGGAGUCACAGGCUUGGUAAAAAAAGACAGGAAUUCUAAUCCACUCUCAUGCAGAACUUGUGGCCCCUUAGGAAGGCAUUUAACCUUUAAGGGUCUAUCCCUUGUCUGUAAAAUGUGCAUGUAAAAUUGCAUGCACACUUGUGAGCGGCUGUAGGGUUCCCAGAUGGUACCAGCCAAGUGCCUGGUCCACACGUGAUGACAGAAUGCUGGAUUCACAGUUGUUAUAAGUGCUGGGCAUGGAAAUCUUCUGACUUCUUCAGUACAAGAGACCAGAGGUCACACAGCACACACAGAGAGGUAGCAGUCUCCAUAGUAGGGGUGGUUCUGUGCUUUGUGCCCUUGUACCUUGGCUAGUCUAAUCAUGGAGCUUAGGUUUUUGGAGCAUUUGUGAGAACCAUAAAGCUAACCUGGUUGGGUGUUGACUUGAGCAAAGACUCUGCUAUAUCUGUGAGGCUAGCUGUUUAAAGGUUGCUGUGUUUGAGACAAUCACAGAGCAUGUACAUGGCAAAUGGUCUCCACCAGUACGACAAGGAAAUUAAUCUCAUUGCUUUGUGGCCUCAUGUCUACGACAAUGCAAUUUUACUUUGCCAAACUGUGUAUCUGUGUUUAUACGCAUAUACAUGCUCCUUGAUGGCUUAUUUUUGUGCCCGCCCAAAUCCAAGCACAAUAAAAACUGUCUCUUUACGAUCCGGUUUGUGAUUUCUUGCUUGUGUUAUGACAGCCGCACUCGCUGAGAUUUCUGUUCUCCGGUAACGAGAAGCUGUGACAGGCGCUACCAGAAGAGGCUUCUGCGGAAGGCUCCCCAGAUUUUCUCAAGCCUCCCUCCACAAUUGAUCUGCUGCAAUGUUUUUAGUCUUGUUAUUAUAGUGUUGGAGUGGAGAAGUAUCAUAUGGAGGGAGACGAGAGGAGUCGAAAUAUGGGAAAGCAGCUGUCAAGACCAAUUCAGAAGAAC